rnacentral:lncRNA from 1 species
UUUUCCAGAUGAGGUCACUGAGGCGCAGAGAAGUGAAGUGGCUCGCCCACAGUCACCCAGUUGACGAGUGGCAGAGCCGGGAUUCGAACCCAUGAUCUCUGACUCCAAAGCCCGUGCUCUUUCCCCUGAGCCACGCCGCCGAGGUAUCGUAUGACAGAAGCCCCUCACUAGACUGCAAGCUUGUUUUGGGCAGGGAUUGUGUCCACCGACUCCCUCGUACUCUACCGAGCGCUUAGUACGAUGCUCCGCACACAGGAAGCUCUUGAUAAAUAUCAGUGACUGAUUGGAUUUGGGCAUUUAAUUGGCUCGCGGUCUUUAAGGGACAAAAAUUCUGUAGUAUCGGAUGGCAACGGGAUUUUUCACGAUGUGCUGAAAGGUUGCGUGUUUUCUUCCUCCUGAAAAGCGGCACUUGGGUAGUGUGAGAAAUGAACAUUCGGGUGAGCUGGUAGAUGACGCAGUUGGCCUUCUGCCAGCCGAGCCCAAGAAGACACUUGAAGGAAAUACAGAUUCGGACAGGAAAACUGGAUCAUUUCAAGUGGCUCUGAAUGAAGCCAGUGUUUCCUUCGUCCUUUUGUUUUUUUUAAUAUACUUAAAAUGGAGACGCGGUUUAUAAAUCGGGUCCUUUCUAGUCCUGAACUCCGUAUGUUCAAGAUGGAACUUGAAUACGUCUUGAUCGCGAGUGGGGAAGAAGCAGUUCGUAGUCGAGGGGUAGGUCUGCUCUCCCACUGGAUGUUUGACCUUGAGAAACGGAGGAAGAAACCAUCAAAAGGAGUUUCAAGUGACGGCUUGAGGAGAGACGGCAAGCCGUUACCAGACCAGCACUUGUCCUCCUUAUCGUCGUUCAUUUUCACGAAUACUAAUAAGAAGAAGCGAACGCCGUCCUUGAAGUCACGCUCUGGUUUCGAGAAAGGAAGCGUCCACGUCCAGUUCUGCUUUCCAAAUCUGAGAAGCGGCACGGCCUAGUGGAUAGAGCACGGGCUCGGGGGUCAGAAGAAACUGGGUUCUCAUCCUGGUUCCGCCACUUGUCUGCUGGGUGACCUUAGGCAAGUCAUUUCACCUCUCUGGGGCUCAGUUACCUCAUCUGUAAAAUGAGGAUUAAGAUUGUGAGCCCCGUGUGGGACAUGGACUGGGCCCAACCUGAUUAGCUUGUAUUCAUUCAUUCAAUAGUAUUUAUUGAGCGCUUACUAUGUGCAGAGCGCUGUACUGAGCGCUUGGAAGCUACCCCAGA